rnacentral:rRNA from 1 species
GACGAACGCUGGCGGCGUGCUUAACACAUGCAAGUCGAGCGGUAAGGCCCUUUCGGGGGUACACGAGCGGCGAACGGGUGAGUAACACGUGGGUGACCUGCCCUCAGCUCUGGGAUAAGCCUGGGAAACCGGGUCUAAUACCGGAUAUGACUCCAUGACGCAUGUUGUGGGGUGGAAAGCCUUGUGCGGCUGAGGAUGGGCCCGCGGCCUAUCAGCUUGUUGGUGGGGUGAGGCCUACCAAGGCGACGACGGGUAGCCGGCCUGAGAGGGCGACCGGCCACACUGGGACUGAGACACGGCCCAGACUCCUACGGGAGGCAGCAGUGGGGAAUCUUGCGCAAUGGGCGAAAGCCUGACGCAGCGACGCCGCGUGAGGGAUGACGGCCU